GGGUUGUGAGGUUAAGCGACUAAGCGUACACGGUGGAUGCCCUGGCAGUCAGAGGCGAUGAAGGGCGUGCUAAUCUGCGAUAAGCGCCGGUAAGGUGAUAUGAACCGUUAUAACCGGCGAUACCCGAAUGGGGAAACCCAGUGUGACUCGUCACACUAUCAUUAACUGAAUCCAUAGGUUAAUGAGGCGAACCGGGGGAACUGAAACAUCUAAGUACCCCGAGGAAAAGAAAUCAACCGAGAUUCCCCCAGUAGCGGCGAGCGAACGGGGAGGAGCCCAGAGCCUGAAUCAGCAUGUGUGUUAGUGGAAGCGUCUGGAAAGGCGCGCGAUACAGGGUGACAGCCCCGUACACAAAAGCGCAUGUGCUGUGAGCUCGAUGAGUAGGGCGGGACACGUGGUAUCCUGUCUGAAUAUGGGGGGACCAUCCUCCAAGGCUAAAUACUCCUGACUGACCGAUAGUGAACCAGUACCGUGAGGGAAAGGCGAAAAGAACCCCGGCGAGGGGAGUGAAAAAGAACCUGAAACCGUGUACGUACAAGCAGUGGGAGCACAGGUUUACCUGUGUGACUGCGUACCUUUUGUAUAAUGGGUCAGCGACUUAUAUUCUGUAGCAAGGUUAACCGAAUAGGGGAGCCGGAGGGAAACCGAGUCUUAAUUGGGCGUUAAGUUGCAGGGUAUAGACCCGAAACCCGGUGAUCUAGCCAUGGGCAGGUUGAAGGUUGGGUAACACUAACUGGAGGACCGAACCGACUAAUGUUGAAAAAUUAGCGGAUGACCUGUGGCUGGGGGUGAAAGGCCAAUCAAACCGGGAGAUAGCUGGUUCUCCCCGAAAGCUAUUUAGGUAGCGCCUCGUGAAUUCAUCUCCGGGGGUAGAGCACUGUUUCGGCUAGGGGGCCAUCCCGGCUUACCAACCCGAUGCAAACUGCGAAUACCGGAGAAUGUUAUCACGGGAGACACACGGCGGGUGCUAACGUCCGUCGUGAAGAGGGAAACAACCCAGACCGCCAGCUAAGGUCCCAAAGUCAUGGUUAAGUGGGAAACGAUGUGGGAAGGCCCAGACAGCCAGGAUGUUGGCUUAGAAGCAGCCAUCAUUUAAAGAAAGCGUAAUAGCUCACUGGUCGAGUCGGCCUGCGCGGAAGAUGUAACGGGGCUAAACCAUGCACCGAAGCUGCGGCAGCGACGCUGAUGCGUUGUUGGGUAGGGGAGCGUUCUGUAAGCCUGCGAAGGUGGCCUGUGAGGGUUGCUGGAGGUAUCAGAAGUGCGAAUGCUGACAUAAGUAACGAUAAAGCGGGUGAAAAGCCCGCUCGCCGGAAGACCAAGGGUUCCUGUCCAACGUUAAUCGGGGCAGGGUGAGUCGACCCCUAAGGCGAGGCCGAAAGGCGUAGUCGAUGGGAAACGGGUUAAUAUUCCCGUACUUGGUGUUACUGCGAAGGGGGGACGGAGAAGGCUAUGUUGGCCGGGCGACGGUUGUCCCGGUUUAAGCGUGUAGGUGUGUGUUCCAGGUAAAUCCGGUUCACUUUAACACUGAGGCGUGAUGACGAGGCACUACGGUGCUGAAGCAACAAAUGCCCUGCUUCCAGGAAAAGCCUCUAAGCAUCAGGUAACAUCAAAUCGUACCCCAAACCGACACAGGUGGUCAGGUAGAGAAUACCAAGGCGCUUGAGAGAACUCGGGUGAAGGAACUAGGCAAAAUGGUGCCGUAACUUCGGGAGAAGGCACGCUGACACGUAGGUGAAGUGAUUUACUCAUGGAGCUGAAGUCAGUCGAAGAUACCAGCUGGCUGCAACUGUUUAUUAAAAACACAGCACUGUGCAAACACGAAAGUGGACGUAUACGGUGUGACGCCUGCCCGGUGCCGGAAGGUUAAUUGAUGGGGUCAGCGCAAGCGAAGCUCCUGAUCGAAGCCCCGGUAAACGGCGGCCGUAACUAUAACGGUCCUAAGGUAGCGAAAUUCCUUGUCGGGUAAGUUCCGACCUGCACGAAUGGCGUAAUGAUGGCCAGGCUGUCUCCACCCGAGACUCAGUGAAAUUGAACUCGCUGUGAAGAUGCAGUGUACCCGCGGCAAGACGGAAAGACCCCGUGAACCUUUACUAUAGCUUGACACUGAACAUUGAGCCUUGAUGUGUAGGAUAGGGGGGAGGCCGUGAAGUGUAGAAACCAGUCUGCAUGGAGCCGACCUUGAAAUACCACCCUUUAAUGUUUGAUGUUCUAACGUGGACCCGUGAUCCGGGUUGCGGACAGUGUCUGGUGGGUAGUUUGACUGGGGCGGUCUCCUCCUAAAGAGUAACGGAGGAGCACGAAGGUUGGCUAAUCCUGGUCGGACAUCAGGAGGUUAGUGCAAUGGCAUAAGCCAGCUUGACUGCGAGCGUGACGGCGCGAGCAGGUGCGAAAGCAGGUCAUAGUGAUCCGGUGGUUCUGAAUGGAAGGGCCAUCGCUCAACGGAUAAAAGGUACUCCGGGGAUAACAGGCUGAUACCGCCCAAGAGUUCAUAUCGACGGCGGUGUUUGGCACCUCGAUGUCGGCUCAUCACAUCCUGGGGCUGAAGUAGGUCCCAAGGGUAUGGCUGUUCGCCAUUUAAAGUGGUACGCGAGCUGGGUUUAGAACGUCGUGAGACAGUUCGGUCCCUAUCUGCCGUGGGCGCUGGAGAACUGAGGGGGGCUGCUCCUAGUACGAGAGGACCGGAGUGGACGCAUCACUGGUGUUCGGGUUGUCAUGCCAAUGGCACUGCCCGGUAGCUAAAUGCGGAAGAGAUAAGUGCUGAAAGCAUCUAAGCACGAAACUUGCCCCGAGAUGAGUUCUCCCUGAGACUUAGAGUCUCCUGAAGGAACGUUGAAGACGACGACGUUGAUAGGCCGGGUGUGUAAGCGCAGCGAUGCGUUGAGCUAACCGGUACUAAUGAACCGUGAGGCUUAACCUUACAACGCCGAAG
rnacentral:rRNA from 1 species